CCUGCGGCCAUAUAGCAUUGAAACACUGGUUCUCGUCGGAUUUUCGAAGUUAAGCAACACCGAACCUGGUCAGUAAGUAGAUGGCUGACCGCUUGGAAAUAUCAGUUGCUGUAA